rnacentral:pre_miRNA from 1 species
GCAUUUUUCGAGGCAUUUCAUAGAGUCAAAUGAAAAUAAACCUGUGGAAUGUCGAGAAAUAUGCAU